rfam:TNVERIFIED: Cronobacter phage S13, complete genome.
GGUCCCUUAGCACAAAGGCUAGUGCGCCCAACUCAUAAUUGGAACGAUGUGGGUUCGAAUCCCACGGGGACCA